rnacentral:rRNA from 1 species
UUUACUAAAGAGUUUGAUCCUGGCUCAGGACGAACGCUGGCGGCGCGCCUAACACAUGCAAGUCGAACGGAGUUAUCUUGGCUGAAGUUUUCGGAUGGACGCUGGGAUAACUUAGUGGCGAACGGGUGAGUAACACGUGAGGAACCUGCCCUUGAGUGGGGGACAACAGUUGGAAACGACUGCUAAUACCGCAUAAGCCCACAGAGCCGCAU